rnacentral:rRNA from 1 species
ACACUAUCAUUAACUGAAUCCAUAGGUUAAUGAGGCGAACCGGGGGAACUGAAACAUCUAAGUACCCCGAGGAAAAGAAAUCAACCGAGAUUCCCCCAGUAGCGGCGAGCGAACGGGGAGGAGCCCAGAGCCUGAAUCAGUGUGUGUGUUAGUGGAAGCGUCUGGAAAGGCGCGCGAUACAGGGUGACAGCCCCGUACACAAAAAUGCACAUGCUGUGAGCUCGAUGAGUAGGGCGGGACACGUGGUAUCCUGUCUGAAUAUGGGGGGACCAUCCUCCAAGGCUAAAUACUCCUGACUGACCGAUAGUGAACCAGUACCGUGAGGGAAAGGCGAAAAGAACCCCGGCGAGGGGAGUGAAAAAGAACCUGAAACCGUGUACGUACAAGCAGUGGGAGCACAGAGCAAUCUGUGUGACUGCGUACCUUUUGUAUAAUGGGUCAGCGACUUAUAUUCUGUAGCAAGGUUAACCGAAUAGGGGAGCCGAAGGGAAACCGAGUCUUAACUGGGCGUUAAGUUGCAGGGUAUAGACCCGAAACCCGGUGAUCUAGCCAUGGGCAGGUUGAAGGUUGGGUAACACUAACUGGAGGACCGAACCGACUAAUGUUGAAAAAUUAGCGGAUGACUUGUGGCUGGGGGUGAAAGGCCAAUCAAACCGGGAGAUAGCUGGUUCUCCCCGAAAGCUAUUUAGGUAGCGCCUCGUGAAUUCAUCUCCGGGGGUAGAGCACUGUUUCGGCAAGGGGGUCAUCCCGACUUACCAACCCGAUGCAAACUGCGAAUACCGGAGAAUGUUAUCACGGGAGACACACGGCGGGUGCUAACGUCCGUCGUGAAGAGGGAAACAACCCAGACCGCCAGCUAAGGUCCCAAAGUCAUGGUUAAGUGGGAAACGAUGUGGGAAGGCCCAGACAGCCAGGAUGUUGGCUUAGAAGCAGCCAUCAUUUAAAGAAAGCGUAAUAGCUCACUGGUCGAGUCGGCCUGCGCGGAAGAUGUAACGGGGCUAAACCAUGCACCGAAGCUGCGGCAGCGACACUGUGUGUUGUUGGGUAGGGGAGCGUUCUGUAAGCCUGUGAAGGUGUGCUGUGAGGCAUGCUGGAGGUAUCAGAAGUGCGAAUGCUGACAUAAGUAACGAUAAAGCGGGUGAAAAGCCCGCUCGCCGGAAGACCAAGGGUUCCUGUCCAACGUUAAUCGGGGCAGGGUGAGUCGACCCCUAAGGCGAGGCCGAAAGGCGUAGUCGAUGGGAAACAGGUUAAUAUUCCUGUACUUGGUGUUACUGCGAAGGGGGGACGGAGAAGGCUAUGUUGGCCGGGCGACGGUUGUCCCGGUUUAAGCGUGUAGGCUGGUUUUCCAGGCAAAUCCGGAAAAUCAAGGCUGAGGCGUGAUGACGAGGCACUACGGUGCUGAAGCAACAAAUGCCCUGCUUCCAGGAAAAGCCUCUAAGCAUCAGGUAACAUCAAAUCGUACCCCAAACCGACACAGGUGGUCAGGUAGAGAAUACCAAGGCGCUUGAGAGAACUCGGGUGAAGGAACUAGGCAAAAUGGUGCCGUAACUUCGGGAGAAGGCACGCUGAUAUGUAGGUGAAGUCCCUCGCGGAUGGAGCUGAAAUCAGUCGAAGAUACCAGCUGGCUGCAACUGUUUAUUAAAAACACAGCACUGUGCAAACACGAAAGUGGACGUAUACGGUGUGACGCCUGCCCGGUGCCGGAAGGUUAAUUGAUGGGGUCAGCGCAAGCGAAGCUCUUGAUCGAAGCCCCGGUAAACGGCGGCCGUAACUAUAACGGUCCUAAGGUAGCGAAAUUCCUUGUCGGGUAAGUUCCGACCUGCACGAAUGGCGUAAUGAUGGCCAGGCUGUCUCCACCCGAGACUCAGUGAAAUUGAACUCGCUGUGAAGAUGCAGUGUACCCGCGGCAAGACGGAAAGACCCCGUGAACCUUUACUAUAGCUUGACACUGAACAUUGAGCCUUGAUGUGUAGGAUAGGUGGGAGGCUUUGAAGUGUGGACGCCAGUCUGCAUGGAGCCGACCUUGAAAUACCACCCUUUAAUGUUUGAUGUUCUAACGUGGACCCGUGAUCCGGGUUGCGGACAGUGUCUGGUGGGUAGUUUGACUGGGGCGGUCUCCUCCUAAAGAGUAACGGAGGAGCACGAAGGUUGGCUAAUCCUGGUCGGACAUCAGGAGGUUAGUGCAAUGGCAUAAGCCAGCUUGACUGCGAGCGUGACGGCGCGAGCAGGUGCGAAAGCAGGUCAUAGUGAUCCGGUGGUUCUGAAUGGAAGGGCCAUCGCUCAACGGAUAAAAGGUACUCCGGGGAUAACAGGCUGAUACCGCCCAAGAGUUCAUAUCGACGGCGGUGUUUGGCACCUCGAUGUCGGCUCAUCACAUCCUGGGGCUGAAGUAGGUCCCAAGGGUAUGGCUGUUCGCCAUUUAAAGUGGUACGCGAGCUGGGUUUAGAACGUCGUGAGACAGUUCGGUCCCUAUCUGCCGUGGGCGCUGGAGAACUGAGGGGGGCUGCUCCUAGUACGAGAGGACCGGAGUGGACGCAUCACUGGUGUUCGGGUUGUCAUGCCAAUGGCACUGCCCGGUAGCUAAAUGCGGAAGAGAUAAGUGCUGAAAGCAUCUAAGCACGAAACUUGCCCCGAGAUGAGUUCUCCCUGACCCUUUAAGGGUCCUGAAGGAACGUUGAAGACGACGACGUUGAUAGGCCGGGUGUGUAAGCGCAGCGAUGCGUUGAGCUAACCGGUACUAAUGAACCGUGAGGCUUAACCUUACAACGCCGAAGGUGUUU